GACAGAGGUGCCAAGCGUUAGGCGGAAUCACUGGGCUUAAAGCGUGUGUAGGCGGAUCGUUAAGUACCUUGUGAAAUCCCACGGCUCAACCGUGGAACUGCUGGGUAUACUGGCGGUCUUGAGCCACCUAGGGGCAACUGGAACAAGCGGUGGAGCGGUGAAAUGCGUAGAUAUCGCUUGGAACGCCAACGGUGAAAACAGGUUGCUGGGGGUGUGCUGACGCUGAGGCGCGACAGCGUGGGGAGCAAACAGG
rnacentral:rRNA from 1 species